rnacentral:rRNA from 1 species
CGUAGGUGGCAAGCGUUACUCGGAAUCACUAGGCGUAAAGCGCAGGUAGGCGGUUAGAUAAGUUUCUUGUGAAAGCUCCUGGCUUAACUGGGAGAGGCCAAGGAAUACUGUCUGACUUGAGUAUGGUAGGGGUAACUGGAAUUCCCGGUGUAGCGGUGAAAUGCGUAGAUAUCGGGAGGAAUACCUAUGGCGAAGGCAGGUUACUGGGCCAUUACUGACGCUGAGCUGCGAAAGCUAGGGGAGCAAACAGGAUUAGAUACCCUGGUAGUCCUAGCCCUAAACGAUGCUUAUUAGAUGUGGGAGGUAUCGACCCCUUCCGCGUCGGCGCUAACGCAUUAAAUAAGCCGCCUGGGGAGUACGGCCGCAAGGUUG